rnacentral:rRNA from 1 species
UACAGAGGGUGCAAGCGUUAAUCGGACUUACUGGGCGUAAAGGGCGCGUAGGCGGAUGCGUAAGUCAGAUGUGAAAGGCCAUGGCUUAACCAUGGAAUGUCAUUUGAGACUGCGCGUCUAGAGUCGAAGAGAGGGAAGCGGAAUUUCCGGUGUAGCGGUGAAAUGCGUAGAUAUCGAGAGGAACACCUGCGGCGAAGGCGGGUUGCUGGGCUGACACUGACGCUGAUACGCGAAAGCUAGGGGAGCGAACGGG